UACAGAGGUGGCAAGCGUUGUUCGGAAUUACUGGGCGUAAAGGGCGCGUAGGCGGUUCGUUAAGUCCUGUGUGAAAUCCCCCGGCUCAACUGGGGAACUGCGUCCGAUACUGGAUGGCUCGAGUUUGGGAGAGGGAUGCGGAAUUCCAGGUGUAGCGGUGAAAUGCGUAGAUAUCGAGAGGAACACCUGCGGCGAAGCGGGUUGCUGGGCUGACACUGACGCUGAUGCGCGAAAGCUAGGGGAGCGAACGGG
rnacentral:rRNA from 1 species